AGAUUGAACGCUGGCGGCAUGCUUUACACAUGCAAGUCGUGCGGCAGCGCGGGGGCAACCCUGGCGGCGAGCGGCGAACGGGUGAGGAAUACAUCGGAACGUACCCCGGAGUGGGGGAUAACCCAGCGAAAGUUGGACUAAUACCGCAUAUGCUCUGAGGAGGAAAGCAGGGGACUUCGCAAGAGGCCUUGCGCUCUGGGAGCGGCCGAUGUCCGAUUAGCUAGUUGGUGGGGUAAUGGCUCACCAAGGCGACGAUCGGUAGCUGGUCUGAGAGGAUGAUCAGCCACACUGGGACUGAGACACGGCCCAGACUCCUACGGGAGGCAGCAGUGGGGAAUUUGGACAAGUGGGGGCAACCCGUGAUCCAGCCAUGCCGCGUGGACGGGAAGAACGGCCGUUCGGGUUAGUAAACCGUCGUUUUGGUACGGUAAGGAAAGGGCGAGGACGUUGAACUACGGCCUGUCGUUAGACGGUACGGCGAGAA
rnacentral:rRNA from 1 species